GGCUCGUUGGUCUAGGGGUAUGAUUCUCGCUUCGUGUGUGAGAGGUCCCGGGUUCAAAUCCCGGACGAGCCC
rfam:Salmo salar isolate Sally breed double haploid chromosome ssa15, whole genome shotgun sequence.